UGGGGAAUAUUGGACAAUGGGCGCAAGCCUGAUCCAGCCAUGCCGCGUGUGUGAAGAAGGCCUUUUGGUUGUAAAGCACUUUAAGCGAGGAGGAGGCUACUUGGAUUAAUACUCUAAGAUAGUGGACGUUACUCGCAGAAUAAGCACCGGCUAACUCUGUGCCAGCAGCCGCGGUAAUACAGAGGGUGCGAGCGUUAAUCGGAUUUACUGGGCGUAAAGCGUGCGUAGGCGGCUUCUUAAGUCGGAUGUGAAAUCCCUAAGCUUAACUUAGGAAUUGCAUUCGAUACUGGGAAGCUAGAGUAUGGGAGAGGAUGGUAGAAUUCCAGGUGUAGCGGUGAAAUGCGUAGAGAUCUGGAGGAAUACCGAUGGCGAAGGCAGCCAUCUGGCCUAAUACUGACGCUGAGGUACGAAAGCAUGGGGAGCAAACAGG
rnacentral:rRNA from 1 species